rnacentral:misc_RNA from 1 species
GUACUUGUCAUCCACCUCUCCUUUGAAUUCUGGCUCCACAGGAUCGACAAGUAGUACAGCUUCAGGGACAUCCAGGGGUUUGCCUCUUGGAGAUAACCGGUCUUCUGGCAGUGGCAUGUAUCUUUGCCUGUUAUCUGCUACUACCAUGUAGUGAAACUUGUCCUUCCUGAGUUUGAAUACAAUCCUGGUUUGAGGGAGGUUGAAAGCAGGCCAUUCCUGCAAGUGCUCAAAGAUGGCGUAGGAAUAGAAACCUGAGGAGUUUCGGAGCAUUAUAAACCUCUUGUCUAAGUUCAAAGGGGCAAGCUGUCCUUCAAGCGAGGGAUCCCACAAUUUUGUAAAUGAGAUUUCUACUUGUUCCUCAUUUUCCACUAUAACUUUAAAAUAUGUUCCUUUAAUCCUGCACGGUAACAUAUAAUUAGUGCUCCACAUUAGCGUCAUAUGCUUAAAAAGAAAAAAAAGAAAAAGAUAGAAAACUUAUUGCUAUACACAUAGGAUGUUCCUGUUGUUCCUGUACUUCCUUCCUUGCUCCAGACAAGGUCCCAAUACCCUCUGUCAGACUCAUUAUUUCGAACUUCAAGCAAAUUGCUGAUGCCAUUGUAACGUAUACCAGUUACUAUUCCCUCAGGUUUUGAUAUUGUGACUUGGAGUAUGCCAUUGUCCAUCACCACAUGACGUUCUUGGAUAUGCAAUUUCACCCUUUGGCUUGACAUGGUGAUCUAGAGCAGACCUCUUGGAAGAAACAAAAUGCUAGAUGUUGAUCUUGUUAGGAGGCAGCAGGUCGAUCAAUUUCUAAUAAAAAGUACUAGAGGCUUCAAG